CUUCUCGGGAGGCGCCUUUGCUCCUCUGGGAAGUUAGCGGUGCAGCCGCCAAGGCCUCUGCUGCCCGGGUCGCCAUAUUCCCCGUGGGGGCCAGCCAGGCUCUCGUCUCAGGCUACCCACCCUGCUCCGGCCGCCACAGCCUCUCCCUUCCUUCGGCAGGUGGAGGCGAUGGAGAGACCUACAGGCCCAGGGCGGCUGCCGCUCCCCAAGCAGCAGAUGGGGUGGAGGAGAAAGAUACCAGAAAGCCGAAGGUCCCCGCCGCCAGAGGGUCAGCCCGCGGCUGCGCCCAUUAGUUCCUGCCGCCAGCAGCUGCCGGGACCCUCCCUGCCAUGUUGCUUCCCGGAAAGCACUAAGGCUCUUGGGCCUGCAGGGAAGGACACUUUCUUCCUCACUAAAAUGUGACCGUCCAAAGCAAGAAACUUGAGGGCAUGGGUCACCCCAGCCCUGGCAUCUGCCCAGAACAUGAGAAGGAAGGAACAGUGGUCCUCCAGCAAUGUCACAGGGCCUGCGUGGAUCACCCAGCUGUGUCGGUUAACCUGAACUCCAUCUGCGGAAAUUCGAGGAGGAAAAUACAAAAGUCUUUACAUGAGCACUGAGAAGGCAGACGCAGGCAGAAACCUAUGGGAGGUAACUACCCAGUCUUGUACCUAUGGUGGAGAGAGAGCAUAUUGGUGAUCAUGUGUACUUACACUCUAGGGUCACCAGGUAGCACUCUAACCUCAUCUGUGGCUCUGAAAAGGAAGAUUUGGAAGGAGUUCAUCACAGCUAAAGUUUAACAAGCCCCUACUAUCUUCCAAAUCACUCACCCCUGGCAACAACCUAAGGAGCUAGGGAUGCUUAUCAUGUAUCUUUUGUAGAGAAGGAAAUGGAGACAUAAAGACAUGAAUUAUCUUGCCCACAUCACUCAGUUAGUAAGUGGUGUAGGCCGAAUAGGACCUAAACAGUGUGGCUGCCGAGCUCACAUGCGUUGAUUGAGCAAGUGUUUAUUGAGCACCUGCCAUGAACAAGGCCUUGUGUGAUUAAAUAUGGUUAUGACUAAUAAAAUAACAAUGACAAAUCA
rnacentral:lncRNA from 13 species